rnacentral:lncRNA from 1 species
AAAAGCACUCUUUUUUAUUUUUAUUAAUGAUAAUCUCUUAUAUCUUUUUAUACUUCAUAUUACUUGAAAUAAUUAUAGUAAUUAAAGGAAAAUAAAAUAUUAGUUUUUUUUUUCUUCGUUGUCUUUCUAAUUACCACCACAGUUUAUUGCAACUUCAACAUUAUUGUUUUCGAAAUUCGAUUUAUGAUUUCUUGAAGCAUUCAAUUCCUAGACAUUGUUACAUCCUCAUUUUUUUCUUUUAGUUUCUUCUCCCCGACAUCCACCC